CAUUCAUGUACACAUUGUUGACGGACGAAUGAGAGAAAGAAUGCAAGAAAGACAUAACUCACAAGUUUAUUUUGCUGUGUUUUCAUUGUGUUUUUUUUU
rnacentral:ribozyme from 11 species